CGGCGUGGAUGAGGCAUGCAAGUCGAACGAAGUAGCUUGCUACUUAGUGGCGAAAGGGUUAGUAAUACAUGAGUAACGUACCUCUUUCCUGGGGAUAACGGUUGGAAACGACCGCUAAUACCGAAUGAGGAGAUCCGGGGUAGCCCGAUAUCUUCAAAGUAGGGGAUCCUUCGGGACCUUACGGGGAGAGAGCGGCUCAUGGGAUAUCAGCUUGUUGGUGUGGUAAAGGCGCACCAAGGCUAAGACGUCUAGGCGGACUGAGAGGUUGACCGCCAACACUGGGACUGA
rnacentral:rRNA from 1 species